rnacentral:rRNA from 1 species
UUUUGGACAAUGGGCGCAAGCCUGAUCCAGCCAUGCCGCGUGUAUGAAGAAGGCCUUCGGGUUGUAAAGUACUUUUGUCAGGGAAGAAAAGCCUGAGGAUAACACCCUCAGGUCAUGACGGUACCUGAAGAAUAAGCACCGGCUAACUACGUGCCAGCAGCCGCGGUAAUACGUAGGGUGCGAGCGUUAAUCGGAAUUACUGGGCGUAAAGCGAGCGCAGACGGUUAUUUAAGCAAGAUGUGAAAGCCCCGGGCUCAACCUGGGAACUGCGCUUUGAACUGGGUAACUAGAGUGUGUCAGAGGGGGGUAGAAUUCCACGUGUAGCAGUGAAAUGCGUAGAGAUGUGGAGGAAUACCGAUGGCGAAGGCAGCCCCCUGGGAUAACACUGACGUCAUGCUCGAAA